GUGCUGGAUCACCUCCUUUCUAAGGAGAAUU
rnacentral:rRNA from 1 species